UACGUAGGGUCCGAGCGUUGUCCGGAAUUACUGGGCGUAAAGAGCUCGUAGGUGGUUUGUCGCGUUGUUCGUGAAAACUCACAGCUUAACUGUGGGCGUGCGGGCGAUACGGGCAGACUUGAGUACUGCAGGGGAGACUGGAAUUCCUGGUGUAGCGGUGGAAUGCGCAGAUAUCAGGAGGAACACCACAGCGAAGGCAGAUCUCUGGGACGUUACUGACGCUGAGGACGACGAAGCUGGGGAGCAAACAGG
rnacentral:rRNA from 1 species